rnacentral:rRNA from 1 species
UAGGGAAUAUUGGGCAAUGGAGGGAACUCUGACCCAGCCAUGCCGCGUGCAGGAUGAAGGCGUUAUGCGUUGUAAACUGCUUUUUAUAUAGGAAGAAAUAGUCCUUGCGAGGAAAGUUGACGGUACUAUAUGAAUAAGCACCGGCUAACUCCGUGCCAGCAGCCGCGGUAAUACGGAGGGUGCAAGCGUUGUCCGGAUUUAUUGGGUUUAAAGGGUGCGUAGGCGGUUUAUUAAGUCAGUGGUGAAAGACGGCCGCUCAACGAUUGCAGUGCCAUUGAUACUGGUAGACUUGAGUAUGAUUGAGGUAGCUGGAAUGGAUAGUGUAGCGGUGAAAUGCAUAGAUAUUAUCCAGAACACCAAUUGCGUAGGCAAGUUACUAAGUCAUAACUGACGCUGAGGCACGAAAGUGUGGGUAUCAAACAGGAUUAGAUACCCCCGUAGUCCCUGAGCGGGCUGGCAAGGCGCAU